ACCAGCCCUUCUUCUCUAACUAUCUAUUAGAAUUUCUUUUCAGACGCUGCCUUACUAGCAACUUCUUAACAAAGAAGGGAAAACUAUGGCGAGCAGUAAGCAAUCGAAUUUCGAUUGCACCAAAUUGCUAACCAACACUCUCAACAACGCAAAGAAACGGUGGCGUAUUGCUUAUUUAACAAUCUGUUCUGUUCGUGCUAUGCUUUCUCUCGUAAGAGAGAUAAUUGUAUCCGAAACAAAUAGCUAUCAACACUCUGGUAUUCUGCACUCUGUUCCCUAC
rnacentral:misc_RNA from 1 species